GGAAGUGUAUCGAAGUGGUCAUAACGAGACGCACUCGAAAUGCGUUUGUCCUCCGGGGCACGUGGGUUCGAAUCCCACCACUUCCGCCA
rnacentral:tRNA from 1 species